rnacentral:snRNA from 1 species
AUCGCUUCUCGGCCUAUUGGCUAAGAUCAAGUGUAGUAUCUGUUCUUAUCCGUGUGACAACGGAUACCGAGUAAAUUUUACUCGGACCUGUCACAUCAAUUUUUCUUGGGGGCAUUACACUAAAGCUUGCUUUAGGUAGUGCAGGUAUUGCACUGGUAUAGCACUACUUCCAGUCGUAGUACGCCCCAA